CGGAAAAGCUUCGACUACCCACAGUCCUUCGCCAGAUGAGACCAGUGUCCCGGGCACUGGCUCCUCAUCUCACUCGGGCCUAUGCCAAAGAUGUAAAAUUUGGGGCGGAUGCUCGAGCCUUAAUGCUUCAAGGUGUAGACCUUUUAGCCAAUGCUGUAGCUGUUACAAUGGGGCCAAAGGGAAGAACAGUGAUUAUUGAAGAGAUUUGGGGAAGUCCCAAAGUAACAAAAGAUGGGGUCACUGUUGCAAAGUCAAUUGAUUUAAAGGACAAAUACAAAAAUAUCGAAGCUAAACUUGUUCAGGAUGUUGUCAAUAACACCAACGAAGAGGCUGGGGAUGGCACCACCACUGCCACUGUUCUGGCCCGCUCUAUUACCAAGGAGGGCUUUGAGAAGAUCAGCAAGGGGGCUAACCCAGUGGAAAUCUGCAGAGGUGUGAUGUUGGCCAUUGAUGCUGUAAUUGCUGAACUUAAGAAACAAUCUAAACCUGUGACAACCCCUGAAGAAAUUGCUCAGGUUGCUACAAUCUCUACAAAUGGAGACAAAGACAUUGGGAACAUCAUUUCUGAUGCAAUGAAAAGGGUUGGAAGAAAGGGUGUCAUCACAGUGGAGGAUGGAAAACCCUGAAUGAUGAGCUAGAAAUUAUUGAAGGCAUGAAGUUUGAUAAAGGAUAUAUUUCCCCAUAUUUUAUUAACACAUCAAAAGGUCAAAAGUGUGAAUUCCAAGAUG